GAAGAAAAUAAUAAAAAUCCAAUAUUCAAGAAAAGACUGGCUCUGCUAGACCUACUCAUAGCCGCUUCUCUGAAUGAUAAUCAACUAGAUGAAGAAGGAAUUCGAGAAGAAUUCGAAACUUUUAUGUUUACGGGUCACGAUACUACGUCAAUG